UGUGCUACAUCCUAGUGGGCGUGUAGAAACUGAACUUGCACUGACCUUCUCUCUACAGUAUCCUCAUUUCUUGAAAAGAGAAGGCAACAUACUUCAAAUAAUGUUGCAGAGGAGGAAACGAUAUAAAAACAGAACAAUUCUUGGCUACAAAACAUUGGCAGUGGGAACUAUCAACAUGGUGGAGGUAUUGCAGCACCCAACAGAAGGAGGCCAAGUUCUGAGCCUUUUUAGCAGUAUCAAAGAAGUUACGAUCAAAAUAGCAGAAAUCUGGAUCUUCUCACUUU